rnacentral:rRNA from 1 species
UACGAAGGGGGCUAGCGUUGCUCGGAAUCACUGGGCGUAAAGCGCACGUAGGCGGCUCUUUAAGUCAGGGGUGAAAUCCUGGAGCUCAACUCCAGAACUGCCUUUGAUACUGAGGAGCUUGAGUUCGGGAGAGGUGAGUGGAACUGCGAGUGUAGAGGUGAAAUUCGUAGAUAUUCGCAAGAACACCAGUGGCGAAGGCGGCUCACUGGCCCGAUACUGACGCUGAGGUGCGAAAGCGUGGGGAGUAAACAGG